GGUCUGUGGGCCCGAGGCCCUGAGAUGGAGCAGGUUUCCUCUGCAGGGAGCCUUCAGCUGCUCUUCAAGAUGGGCUCUAUCACAUCCCUGUUCAGAUGAGCCAUGAGAGACAGACCUGGAGAAGUCAAGCACUUGCUGGCAGUCACCCAGCUGGUGAUCCGCCCACAGGCCACAGGCCCAGCCACGUGACGCUGCACGCCCUCGCCGGGACCCCCCGGUGUGGCUUCUGUGGUCGGCCUUUCAGCAGAAGACAGAGCCAGCCACAUACAGUCCUGACCGAGGUCACCCCACAAAGACCCAGAGAGAAGAGGGUCUCAGCGCAAGAGGGGAUCACGCCAAUGAGCAUGGAAAAAAAGCGACGAGGAAACCCAGGUGGAAGCUUUCCUCUCCCAGGCCCCCAGGGAGGGGUGGGCGGUGGGCAGAGGCUGCAGUUACCUUCAACAUGGGCUGAGUUCAGCCCCCUCCCCUCAGGCACCUGGUGAGGCAAAGGUUCUAUCUUCAGGUUUGAGCCCCCAGCUCUGUCUCCCUCCUACGCUCCAGGUGACCUGAGCAAGUUUUUUCUCCUCUCUGAACAUGGCUUCUGCACCUGUAAAGAGAGGAGGUACAUUUUGGCCACUCUCUCCUCGGUGAACCGGGAAGCACUCACCUGUCAGUCAGAGCAUCACGAGCUCCGAGGCAGGCCCAGCGCCGGAUGUGGCACAUGAACACGUCAACUCACAAGGCAGUGGGCAGGGGGCCCCUGACCGGGGGAACAAGCCUAAUCCAGCCCCACUCCACUGGCUCCUAAAGCUCUGUGUGGGCCAAACAGCACAGUCACCAGCAGCCUGAGGUUGUUGGCGGGAGCCCCUGCUCUCAUCUUUGUGAGGUUGAGAUGAAACUGACAGGCUUUGGAAAAGGAGCAAGCCCUGAACAAACAGGACAGGGUCCCCUCCUCUGCUGGCUUCCCCAUCUGGCUGGAGCAGUCAGGAGCGGGAGGGAAGGGGCACUUCCCCACUGCCCUGCUCUCCCUCUCCCCUGGGCUUCCUCACCAGUCUUCACUGGGGCUUUCUCCCAGCUCCUGGGGUCUCCAUCUCCCUGCUGACCUCAUCUGUCUCUCCUCUCCACUCUGCCUGCUUUCAAACCCUUCUUUCCCAGGUGUAUGACCUCCAGGAAUUAACCCCCUUGGUGCCGCAGCUUCCUUGUCUAUGAAAUAGUGCAAUGGGCUUUUCUCCCUGUAGGGUGGUUGCAAGGAGAAAAUGAGCUAAUAUGUGUGAAGCUCACAGAGGGACCCUGAUGAAGCAGUCAGUUGGUUAUUUUUAUUCAGACAGGCCCCAGGAGAGGUAGGGCGAUAGGUUACCUCCCCCUGAGCACCUCUCAAAGACCUCUGCAGGUUAAAGGGAAGGGCCGGAUUCUAGCCCAAAGUUCAGCCAAACAGCCAACUGUUCUCUGUUCCAGACUGACAGGAAGUUGGCGCUUCGCCUGAGGAAAUGGCCCAUGCAGGCUUCUCACUUGGCCCUCCCUUCCGGCAUCAACUUCAAGCCUGGGCAGGGGCUGCUCUGAGCAAAGUUGGCUGCAGCCAUGAGCUCUUGAGGUCAGUGUCUGUGGUGGGGCCACAGGGUUGGGCUGGGUCAGAUGCUGAGGACAAACAGUAGCACUUGAGAGGGCUGGAGACCCUCUGCUACGCCAGUCUAAGGAUCUGAGUCUCCCAGGACACGCCAGAGAUAGGAUCUAAAGAGGAAACGCUUUGCAGAUACCCAGAGCGGACAGCAGAGCAGACCUGAUCAAAGCUGAGAUUUUAGCAGAGAACAGAGAAGAGACCAAAUGGAACCGAGCAAAAGACCACAGGAACUGAAACUUCUGGGUGCUCACAAAUCAUCACCCUGUGUGAGCAGGGCCUGGGGGACUGGGUGGGAAUCUUUCCAGGCCAUGAGAGUUAGCAGGAUACAGGCUGUUGCUGCCUUCCCUUGGUUGCUGUACCUAGAGGACAUUUGAUUCAUAAAUUAAUGUAAGUAUGAAUACAUUUAGACUAGAAAGUGCAGGCAUGACGGAAAAAAUACAAAAGGAACAAAAGGAUGUGCAAUGAACAGCAUCUCCUCGCUCUACUUCCCCUGCACCCAGUUCCCCUUCUUGGAGGCUACCACCUUUACUAGGCUCGUUAAAGACUUCCAGAUAUUAUACACAUUUACAAACACAAAUGCAAACACACUGUGUGCAUAAGUGUGUGUACAUGUGUGUGUUCUUAUCUCUAUUUUCACAUAAGUGGGAGCAUGUCAAUAUAUCUUGGGGCCCUUUCCUUGUUGGAACAUGUAGAGACCUCUUGUUCUUUAAAUGA